rnacentral:rRNA from 1 species
GAUGAACGCUGGCGGCGUGCUUAACACAUGCAAGUCGAACGGUGAACGAGGGAGCUUGCUCCCUCCGGAUCAGUGGCGAACGGGUGAGUAACACGUGAGCAAUCUGCCCUGGACUCUGGGAUAAGCGUUGGAAACGACGUCUAAUACCGGAUACGAGACGUGAAGGCAUCUUCAACGUCUGGAAAGAACUUCGGUCCAGGAUGAGCUCGCGGCCUAUCAGGUAGUUGGUGAGGUAACGGCUCACCAAGCCUACGACGGGUAGCCGGCCUGGGAGGGUGACCGGCCACACUGGGACUGAGACACGGCCCAGACUCCUACGGGAGGCAGCAGUGGGGAAUAUUGCACAAUGGGCGCAAGCCUGAUGCAGCAACGCCGCGUGAGGGACGACGGCCUUCGGGUUGUAAACCUCUUUUAGCAGGGAAGAAGCGAAAGUGACGGUACCUGCAGAAAAAGCACCGGCUAACUACGUGCCAGCAGCCGCGGUAAGAC